GCUGAUCUAUGAUGACACACUUUUAUGGUGACUGCUGGAUGAAACUUGCGGAUAUGGGACUGAGAUCAAUA